AGAGUUUGAUCCUGGCUCAGGAUGAACGCUGGCGGCGUGCUUAACACAUGCAAGUCGAACGAGGUCCAUGGAGCUUGCUCCGGACGACCUAGUGGCGAACGGGUGCGUAACACGUGAGAAACCUGCCCCGAUCUCUGGGAUAACAGUUGGAAACGACUGCUAAUACCGGAUGCCGUCACACCGUCACAUGGCGGAGUGCCGAAAGAUUCAUCGGAUCGGGAGGGUCUCGCGGCCUAUCAGCUUGUUGGAGAGGUAACGGCUCACCAAGGCAUCGACGGGUAGCUGGUCUGAGAGGAUGAUCAGCCACACUGGGACUGAGACACGGCCCAGACUCCUACGGGAGGCAGCAGUGGGGAAUCUUGCACAAUGGGCGAAAGCCUGAUGCAGCAACGCCGCGUGCGGGAAGAAGGCCCUAGGGUUGUAAACCGCUUUCAGUAGGGAAGAAAAUGACGGUACCUACAGAAGAAGGUGCGGCCAACUACGUGCCAGCAGCCGCGGUGACACGUAGGCACCAAGCGUUAUCCGGAUUUAUUGGGCGUAAAGAGCUCGUAGGCGGUUUGGUAAGUCGGGUGUGAAAACUCUGGGCUCAACCCAGAGAGGCCACCCGAUACUGCUAUGACUAGAGUACGGUAGGGGAGCGGGGAAUUCAUGGUGUAGCGGUGAAAUGCGCAGAUAUCAUGAGGAACACCAGCGGCGAAGGCGCCGCUCUGGGCCGUAACUGACGCUGAGGAGCGAAAGCGUGGGUAGCAAACAGGAUUAGAUACCCUGGUAGUCCACGCCGUAAACGUUGGGCACUAGGUGUGGGUCUC
rnacentral:rRNA from 2 species